rnacentral:rRNA from 1 species
UACGGGGGGAGCAAGCGUUGUUCGGAUUUACUGGGCGUAAAGGGCGCGUAGGCGGUCAGCACAAGUCAGUUGUGAAAUCUCCGGGCUUAACUCGGAACGGUCAACUGAUACUGUGCGACUAGAGUGCAGAAGGGGCAACUGGAAUUCUCGGUGUAGCGGUGAAAUGCGUAGAUAUCGAGAGGAACACCUGCGGCGAAGGCAGCUUGCUGAACCAUUAUUGACGUUGAGGCACGAAAGCGUGGGGAGCGAACAGG